UACGGAGGGUGCAAGCGUUAUCCGGAUUCACUGGGUUUAAAGGGUGCGUAGGUGGAUCGGUAAGUCCGUGGUGAAAUCCCCGAGCUUAACUCGGGAACUGCCGUGGAUACUAUCGAUCUUGAAUACUGUGGAGGUAAGCGGAAUAUGUCAUGUAGCGGUGAAAUGCUUAGAUAUGACAUAGAACACCGAUAGCGAAGGCAGCUUGCUACACAGUUAUUGACACUGAGGCACGAAAGCGUGGGGAGCAAA
rnacentral:rRNA from 1 species